UACGGAGGGUGCGAGCGUUGUCCGGAAUCAUUGGGCGUAAAGGGCGCGUAGGUGGCCCGGUCAGCGUGCGGUGAAAGCUCGGGGCUCAACCCCGAGUCGGCCGUGCGAACUGCUGGGCUUGAGCGCUGUAGAGGCAGGCGGAAUUCCGGGUGUAGCGGUGGAAUGCGUAGAGAUCCGGAAGAACACCGGUGGCGAAGGCGGCCUGCUGGGCAGUGGCUGACACUGAGGGACGAAAGCUAGGGGAGCGAAAGGG
rnacentral:rRNA from 1 species